GUGCUUGUUUCAGCGGCACAUAUACUAAAACUGGAAAGAUACAGAAAAGAUUAGCAAUGGUCCCUGUAUAAGGAUGACACACAAAUUCAUGAAGUGUUCCAUAUUUUU
ensembl:snRNA U6 U6 spliceosomal RNA